GAUUUUCAGAUAGCACGAAUGCCAGCAAUCGUGCAACGUAGGAGUUCAAAGGGAGACAUGGUCAGUGUGGUUGGGUGCAAGCAACGUGUCAUUGUGGUUAGAAAAAAUGAAUCAGUAUACAUGUGAUUUAACUGUCAAAGCCGGAAUGUUUAAAGCAUACAUCCCGCCCAAGGCAUGCUGGGAUGAUCUACUAUCAGGCAGCUUGGAAGCUUCCAGACGCCGAUAUGCCUUACGUUCGGUGCAGCCGAGGUUAUGAACUGUCAAGUGGAAGAUGCCCCUUGAGGAAAACAAUUAGGAUCGACUGUCCAGCGUGGAGAUUGCGGAAUCAGCAGCUGACAUAUUGACUGAUGAAACAUGAUGGUGCGUGCAGCAAGAGAGGGUUUGACUGCAGAACCUGACCACCUGCUCCUGUAAAUUUGUACCAACCACAGGCGAAAACAAGGGGA